rnacentral:rRNA from 1 species
GUAACAAGGUUUCCGUAGGUGAACCUGCGGAAGGAUCAUUAUAAUUCUGGGGAAGACGG